CAGUCGAGCGAGUCUGCCUUGAAGAUCGGAGUGCUUGCACUCUGUGAAACAAGAUACAGGCUAGCGGCGGACGGGUGAGUAACACGUGGGUAACCUGCCCAAGAGAUCGGGAUAACACCUGGAAACAGAUGCUAGUACCGGAUAACAACAGAUGAUGCCUAUCAACUGUUUAAAAGAUGGUUCUGCUAUCACUCUUGGAUGGACCUGCGGUGCAUUAGCUAGUUGGUAGGGUAACGGCCUACCAAGGCGAUGAUGCAUAGCCGAGUUGAGAGACUGAUCGGCCACAUUGGGACUGAGACACGGCCCAAACUCCUACGGGAGGCAGCAGUAGGGAAUCUUCCACAAUGGACGCAAGUCUGAUGGAGCAACGCCGCGUGAGUGAAGAAGGGUUUCGGCUCGUAAAGCUCUGUUGUUGGUGAAGAAGGACAGGGGUAGUAACUGACCUUUGUUUGACGGUAAUCAAUUAGAAAGUCACGGCUAACUACGUGCCAGCAGCCGCGGUAAUACGUAGGUGGCAAGCGUUGUCCGGAUUUAUUGGGCGUAAAGCGAGUGCAGGCGGCUCGAUAAGUCUGAUGUGAAAGCCUUCGGCUCAACCGGAGAAUUGCAUCAGAAACUGUCGAGCUUGAGUACAGAAGAGGAGAGUGGAACUCCAUGUGUAGCGGUGAAAUGCGUAGAUAUAUGGAAGAACACCGGUGGCGAAGGCGGCUCUCUGGUCUGUUACUGACGCUGAGGCUCGAAAGCAUGGGUAGCGAACAGGAUUAGAUACCCUGGUAGUCCAUGCC
rnacentral:rRNA from 1 species